rnacentral:rRNA from 1 species
CACGUAGGGUGCGAGCGUUGUCCGGAAUUAUUGGGCGUAAAGAGCUCGUAGGCGGUCCGUCACGUCGGAUGUGAAAUUCCAGGGCUCAACCCUGGACCUGCAUUCGAUACGGGCGGACUAGAGUCCGGAAGAGGAGAGUGGAAUUCCUGGUGUAGCGGUGAAAUGCGCAGAUAUCAGGAAGAACACCUAUGGCGAAGGCAGCUCUCUGGGACGGUACUGACGCUGAGACGCGAAAGCGUGGGGAGCAAACAGG